GUUGGGUUAAGUCCCGCAACGAGCGCAACCCUUGCCUUUAGUUGCCAGCAGUUCGGCUGGGCACUCUAAAGGGACUGCCGGUGUUAAACCGGAGGAAGGUGGGGAUGACGUCAAGUCCUCAUGGCCUUUAUGACCAGGGCUACACACGUACUACAAUGGCCGAUACAAAGGGCAGCGACACUGCGAGGUGAAGCCAAUCCCGUAAAAUACGGUCUCAGUCCGGAUUGGAGUCUGCAACUCGACUCCAUGAAGUUGGAAUCGCUAGUAAUCGUGGAUCAGCAUGCCACGGUGAAUACGUUCCCGGGCCUU
rnacentral:rRNA from 1 species